AUUUCUUAAGUAUAAUUUAGUAUACUUGGCUUCCAACCAAGAGGACCUUACAAUUUAAGGAAGAAAUA
rnacentral:tRNA from 1 species